rnacentral:rRNA from 1 species
CCUACGGGUGGCAGCAGUGGGGAAUAUUGCACAAUGGGGGAAACCCUGAUGCAGCGACGCCGCGUGAGCGAUGAAGUAUUUCGGUAUGUAAAGCUCUAUCAGCAGGGAAAAAAAUGACGGUACCUGACUAAGAAGCCCCGGCUAACUACGUGCCAGCAGCCGCGGUAAUACGUAGGGGGCAAGCGUUAUCCGGAUUUACUGGGUGUAAAGGGAGCGUAGACGGUCCUGCAAGCCAGAUGUGAAAGCCCGGGGCUCAACCCCGGGACUGCAUUUGGAACUGUCAGGCUAGAGUGUCGGAGAGGCAGGCGGAAUUCCUAGUGUAGCGGUGAAAUGCGUAGAUAUUAGGAGGAACACCAGUGGCGAAGGCGGCUUGCUGGACGAUGACUGACGUUGAGGCUCGAAAGCGUGGGGAGCAAACAGGAUUAGAUACCCUUGUAGUC